rnacentral:rRNA from 1 species
GAUGAACGCUGGCGGCGUGCCUAAUACAUGCAAGUCGAGCGAACAGACGAGGAGCUUGCUCCUCUGACGUUAGCGGCGGACGGGUGAGUAACACGUGGAUAACCUACCUAUAAGACUGGGAUAACUUCGGGAAACCGGAGCUAAUACCGGAUAAUAUAUUGAACCGCAUGGUUCAAUAGUGAAAGACGGUUUUGCUGUCACUUAUAGAUGGAUCCGCGCCGCAUUAGCUAGUUGGUAAGGUAACGGCUUACCAAGGCAACGAUGCGUAGCCGACCUGCGAGGGUGAUCGGCCACCCUGGAACUGAGACACGGUCCAGACUCCUACGGGAGGCAGCAGUAGGGAAUCUUCCGCAAUGGGCGAAAGCCUGACGGAGCAACGCCGCGUGAGUGAUGAAGGUCUUCGGAUCGUAAAACUCUGUUAUUAGGGAAGAACAAAUGUGUAAGUAACUAUGCACGUCUUGACGGUACCUAAUCAGAAAGCCACGGCUAACUACGUG